rnacentral:rRNA from 1 species
UGGGGAAUAUUGCACAAUGGGGGAAACCCUGAUGCAGCGACGCCGCGUGAAGGAAGAAGGUCUUCGGAUCGUAAACUUCUAUCAGCAGGGAAGAAGGAAGUGACAGUACCUGAGUAAGAAGCCCCGGCUAACUACGUGCCAGCAGCCGCGGUAAUACGUAGGGGGCGAGCGUUAUCCGGAAUUACUGGGUGUAAAGGGUGCGUAGGCGGUAUGGCAAGUCAGUUGUGAAACCCCCUGGCUCAACCAGGGGCUUGCAAUUGAAACUGUCAUACUAGAGUGCAGGAGAGGAAAGCGGAAUUCCUAGUGUAGCGGUGAAAUGCGUAGAUAUUAGGAAGAACACCAGUGGCGAAGGCGGCUUUCUGGACUGUAACAGACGCUGAGGCACGAAAGCGUGGGGAGC